UUUUAUUUUUAAGAUAAAGUAAUCUCUACAGCCAGUGUGGGUCUCAAACUUAGAACCCUGAGACCAGGAGUCCUACUCCACUGACUGAGCCAGACAGGUGCCCCUAGACUACACUUUUGUUUUCUUUUUUAAACUAUUGAGUUUUGAGAGUUCUUUAUAUAUUCUAGAUAUGAGUCUUUGUCAGAUACAUGAUUUGCAAUAUUUUUUCUCAUUCUGCAGCUUAUCCUUUCAUCCUCUUAAUUGAAGAGACUCCUUGUAUUUUUUUAAGUUUUUAUUUAUUUCCUAAUCUCUACACCCCAGGUGAUGCUUUAACUAUGACCCCAAGUUCAAGAGUUGCAUGUUCAGGGCACCUGGCCAGUCAGGUACCCCUUCAGUAUAUUAAUAUUUACCUUUAUAUAUUCUGAUUUGGGGAGCAUUUUUAAGAACCUUUUUCAGUCUUACGUCCCCAAAAUUUUCUUCAGUGUUUUCUUCUAAAAGUUUUGUAGUCUUAUGUUUUUACAACUUAAAAUCUGUAAUCUAUUUUUAGUUAACUUUUAUUUGAGGUAGGAAACUUAAGUCUAGGUGUAUUUUUUCCCCUAUGAAUAUCCAGUUCCUCCAUCAUUUUUGAAGACUAUUGUUCCUGCAUUGAAUCAGUUUUGCACCUUUAUCAAAAAUCAGUUGGUGUAUAUCAGCAAUGGACAAUUGGAAUUUGAAAUUAAAAACACAAUACCAUUAGGGUGCCUGGGUGUCUCAGUCAGGUGAGCAUCUGACUCUUGGUUUCGGCUCAGGUCGGGAAUCUCAGGUUCCUGAGAUUGAGCCCCACAUAGGGCUCCACACUCAGUGGGAAGUCUGCUUCUCCUUUCCUCUGCUCCUCCCCCUGCUCAUGUUCUCUCUCUCUCUCCCUCUCAAAUAAAAAUGAAUAAAUCUUUUCUUAAAAUGACACACAAUACCAUUUACAUUACCGCUGGAAGGAAGGAAAGUAAAUAGGUCUAGGUGUAAAUCGUACAAAAUAUGUACAAGAUCUAUAUGAGGAGGGGCUUCUGGGUGGCCCAGUUGGCUAAGCCUCUGACUCUUGGUUUCAUCUAAGGUCAUGAUCCCAGGGUCCUGAGAUCGAGCCCAGCCUCGGACUCCCAGCUUGUCAGGAGGCUCGCUUUUCCCUCUCCCACUCCCCCACUUGUGUUCCUGCUCUCAUGGUCUCUCUCUCUGCCAAGUAAAUAUGUAAAAUCUUUUUAAAAAUCUUCAGGCUUCCUGCUCGGCAGGGAGCCUGCUUUUCCUUCUCUCUUUGCCUGCCUCUCUGCCUACUUGUGAUCUCUCUCUCUGUGUCAAAUAAAUAAAAAUAAAAUCUUAAAAAAAAAAAAAAAAUGGUGCACCUGGGUGGCUCAGGGGGAUAAAGCCUCUGUCUUCGGCUCAGGUCAUGAUCCCAGGGUCCUGGGAUCAAGCCCCACAUCAGGCUCUCUGCUCAGCAAGGAGCCUGUUUCCCUUCCUCUCUCUCUGCCUGCUUCUCUGCCUACUUGUGAUCUCUGUCUGUCAAAUAAAGAAAAUUAAAAAAAAAAAAAAAAGAAAGAAAGAAAGACGUGGUUAAGAGGAUAAAAAGAGGGGUGCCUGCGUGGCUUAGUGGGUUAAGCAUCUGCCUUUGGCUCAGGCCAUGAUCUCAGGGUCCUGGGAUCGAGCCCUGUAUCAGGUUCUCUGCUUAGCAGGGAGCUUACUUCCUCCCCUCUCUCUGCCUACUUGUGAUAUCUCUCUCUCUCUGUCAAAUAAAAUUUUUUUUUAAAAAGUGAGAAUAAAAAGACAAGACACAAACUGGAAGAAAAUAUUUGUGGAACACAUACCUGAUAAAGGACUGGGCGGUGGACGGAAUGUCGUGUCCCUACCCCAAAUUUAUUAUGUGGAAAUCUUUACCCCAGAUGUCAGGAUAUAAAAGAUGGGGCCUUUGGUAAUGAGGUCUGUGGCUGGGCCUUCAUCAGGGGGAUUAGCACCCUUAUAAAAGAGACACAAUGAGAAGAUGACAUAGGCUGCAGCCCAUAAGAGGGCUCUUCCUGGAAACCAGCCACGGGGGCACCCUGACCUCAGACUUCAGCUUCCAGAACUGUGAGAAACAAAUUUCUGUUGUGUAUCAUGCCACCCAAUGUGUGAUAUUUUGUUGUAAGAGCCUAAAUUGACUAAGACUGAUAUCCAAAAUAUACAAAGAACUCUUAAAAACUCAAUAAUGAGGAAACAAAUAUGGUAAAGAUCUAAGCAGACUCAUUACCAGAGAAGAUGUACAAAUGGCAGAUAAAGACAUGAAAAAAUGUUCAACAGCAUCGUAUGUUAUUAGGGAAAUGCAAAUUAAGACAGUAGAGAUAUGGGAGCCUGGGUGGCUCGGUGACUUAAGCCUCUGCCUUUGGCUCAGGUCAUGAUCUCAGGGUCCUGGGAUCGAGCCCCGCAUCGGGCUCUCUGCUCAGCAGGGAGCCUGCUUCCUCCUCGCUCUCUCUCUGCCUGCCUUGUGAUCUCUCUCUGUCAAAUAAAUAAAUAAAAUCUUAAAAAAUUUUAAAAAUUUAAACAGUAGAGAUACCAUUGCACAUCUACUGGAAUGGCUGAAAUCCAAACACAGACAACACUAAAUGGUGACAAUAUGGAGAAAUAGGAGUUCUCACUUGUUGAUGGCAGGAACGUAAUAAAAUGGUACAGCCACCUGAAAGACAGUCUGGCAGCUUCUUUAAAAAUGAAACAGGGACAACUAUCUGGCUCAGGUGGUGGAGCGUGUGACUCUGGAUCUCAAGAGUUGUGAGUUUGAUCCCCACACUGGCUGUAGAGUUUACUUAAAGACAAAAUCUUUAAAGAAAGAAACAUCCUUACCAUAAAGUGCCUAACUUGUAAUUGUGGAUGUUUCGAUGCUCCUCUCAGUCCUGUUGGCUGCACAUCUUUGCGGUUCUGUUGUGCAUAUUCAUUUAGAACUGUCUUUUGGUGGGCUGAUAUGUAUGUUCUGUCAUUACAUUAAGUCCUUCUCAGGCCCCUGACAGGUUUCUUUUGAAGUGUAUUUUAUCUGCUAUUAAUAUAGCCAUUUCUGAUUUCUUUUGAUUGAUGUUUCCAUGGUGUAUCUUUUCUAUCCAUUUAAUGUCACCCUAUUGAUGUCAUUACAUGUGAAGUGAGUUUCUUAUAAACAGCAGGUAAGGUCCUUUUUUAUAUUUUUUUAAGAUUUUAUUUAUUUGACAGACAAAGAUCACAAGUAGGCAGAGAGAGAGGAGGAAGCAGGCUCCCCGCUGAGCAGAGAGCCCGAUGUGUGGCUCGAUCCCAGGACCCCGGGAUCAUGACCUGAGCUGAAGGCAGAGGCUUUAACCCACUGAGCCACCCAGGCACCCCAAGGUCCUUUUUAAAAUCCACUCUGCCAAUCUUUGCCUUUUAAUUGGUGUAUUUAGAGUGUUUCCAUUUAGUAUACAUUUUUACUCUUCCCAUAGUUUUUCUUUUCUGGUGUUCCUAAUUUUUUUCUAUCAUUUUCUUUUUGUUUUAGGAACUUCCUUGAGCUAUUCUUUUAGGUAUGUUCAGCUUGUAGCAAAUUUUCUUGGUUUUCAUUUACCUAUGAAUGUCUUGAUUUCAGUUUCUUUCUUGAAGUCUGUCUAUGCUAGAUAGGCAGUUCUGGGUUGACUGUUUUCUCUGCCAGUACCUGAAAAUUGUGCCACGUCCUGCCAGUGCUUGUGAUUUCUGAACAUAGACUAGCUCUCCUUUGAAUGUUCUAACGGCACAGGGAGGGUGGUGUCACUGUUCUCUGCUUUUGUUUUUAACUUUUUAUUUCUGUUUUUCAAAUAUUUUAGUUAUUUAUUGGAGACAGAGAGAGGGAGAGAGAAUCUAAGUAGGCUCCAUGCCCAGUGCAGAGCCUGAUGUGGGGCUCAAUGCCAUGACCCUGAGAUCACAACCUGAGCUAAAACCAAGACAGCCCACUCAGGUGCCCCUCAAAUACUUUUUUUUAGCUCUUUCUCUUUUCCUCCUGGGACUCCUGUGACACACAGGUUAGAUCUUUUGUUAUAGUCCCUGAGGCUUUGUUGCUGGUUCUUUCCAUCCUGUUUUCUCCGUGUUGUUCAUAUUAGGUAAUUUCUGUUCUUCAGGUUCACUCAUUCUCUCUGUUGUCUCCAUGGUUCCGGUGAGCCUGUCCAGUGAGGUUUUCCUUUUGUUUGCUCAGUUUUGCCAUUGAAAAUUUUGUUUACUUUUUUUUUUAAUAUGUUUUUAAAUAUUUUUAAGGUUUAAAAAGUGUUUAAAGUUUGUAGUUCCUAGUAGGAAAACAUUAUCUGAAUGAAUACCCUAAUGGCAAACCAUUGUAGAAUGUUUCAGUUGCAUGGGGAGCAGAGGGGUAGGGAUUCUCUUCACAGCACCCCAGCUUUCUUCAUGAGAAGGUCAGAGGUACACUGGUUUGUAUUAUUGCGACAUCCAUUAGGUGAUCGAAGUUGCUUUUCCUUCAGCAAAGGCUUUAUUUGUCAGAAGGGCAUUAUGCUUGACCUCCAAAUUUGGCUGACAAUUUACUGAUGAGAUUCAUAACCUUUGGGUUGCUCUGAUAUUUUGACAUAUUCGCUGGGUUCUGGGCCACAUCCUGGAAGGCCACCAUAACUUCUGGAUCCUGCAUGGCUGUAAGAACUUCCGGAUCACUAAGAAUUUCAUUGAGCCCAGGCGUUCCUGCCAUUCCAGGCAUCCCCCAGGAAAGCCACCUGGGAAAGAGCCAUACUGAGAGCCUGCUUCCUCCUCUCUCUCUCUUUGCCUGCCUCUCUGCCUACUUGUGAUCUGUCUGUCAAAUAAAUAAAUUAAAAAAUCUUUAAAAAAAAAAAAAAGUUUUGUGUUAUACUGAUCCUUUUUAUGUGACAUUAAAAAAAAAAAAAUCUUAUUUUUAAGUGCUCUUUACACCCAGUGUAGGGCUGAAACUCACAACCUAGAGGUCAAGAGUUGCACAUUUUACCAUUUCAGCCAGCCAGGCAUGCCUUAUAUGACAUUUUGUUAAUUUGUUUCAUGUGUAUGCUUAGCACUUGGUGAGUCUUAACCCUCUGGAUUGGACUUUUAAUUUCUUAUUUUUUUUUUAAGAUUUUAUUUAUUUAUUUGACAGACAGACAUCACAAGUAGGCAGAGAGGCAGGCAGAGAGAGGGGAGGAAGCAGGCUCCCUGCUGAGCAGAGAGCCCGAUGGGAGUCUCUAUCCCAGGACCCUGGGAUCAUGACCUGAGCCAAAGGCAGAGGCUUUAACCCACUGAGCCACCUAGGCACCCUGGAUUGGACUUUGAAAUGUCUUCUUUUCUCCUAGUCUCUAUUUCUGUCUUAAUUUUUCCCCUACUUUUUGAGCUACUGGUUUUUAGAAAGUAAGUGAAAGAUUGUUGCGUCACCCUUCACCUGUGGUUGCCCUGUGGCCCAGCCACAGCUCUCCUGUGUUGUGUAGUCCGCCAGAGUCCACACUCUGCCCUGGAGAUACCCUGCUUCCCAUGCUGUCUCCACAGAGUAGUACAGCUAGACCACAGAUAUCCUGACUCACCUCCCUUCUUCCAUACUGGCUCCAAGGGACUGUCCGUUCCAACUUCAACCCCCGUCGGGCUGGUUAGAAACGCGGGUGCCUGGCACGCAGAUGCGUGAGACCGGAAGAGCCCUGCAGGCUUAUUACUUACUCUUCCGCUCAGCAGGGAUCUGUGUCCUACUGUCCUACACACAAUCCAGAAAGUUUCUGCCCCCAGUGUACAACUCAGGUGAAGAAACACUUCCUUUAUGAUGGAUAAGUUUCUGGACAAGAAUUAGGUAUGAAGUUUCACAUUUUGACAGAAAGCUUCUAGUUGAGGGUCCCCAUCUGCUGUAAGCCCUUCGUAACUCUUGGGUGACAGGGGGAUGGCUUACAUGGAAGAGAUUCACUUCACCUCAUAGGAUAUUCAGCCACUUUGAGUUCCAAGAGACGGAGCUGACUUUCCUAGUACACAAAACAACCAGAGAUGGAGACGGGAAUGCAUCCCCACAUAUAAGAAAGAACCAAAAAUGACCUAAAAAAAAGGCGAACGGCGAGCAGCGGCGACGGCACGGAGACGCGCAGUGGAGAUUUCUGGUUUCGGAGCCCAGCGGCCGGAUGGGUGAAAUCCUCCCUGCAGCGGAUCCUCAACAGCCACUGAUUGGCCAGAGAGAAGGAGGGGGACAAAGCCAGCACCGCCGUCCACGCCGCCCGCGCCAUGCAUAUAUGCCUAUAUAUAUGCCUAUAUAUAUAUAGCCGUGUUUGCCUAUAUAUAUAUAUAUAUAUAUAUAUAUAUAUAAUACUUUAUAUAUAUGUAUAUGCACAUAUAAUAUUUUAUUUAUUUGACACAGAGAGAGAGAGAUCACAGGAGGCAGAGAGGCAGGCAAAGAGAGAGGGGGAAGCAGGGAAGCAGGCUCCCUGCUGAGCAGAGAGCCCAGUGCGGGGCUUGAUCCCAGCACCCUGAGAUCAUGACCUGAACCAAAGGCAGAGGGUUAACCCACUGAGCCACCCAGGUGCCCCAGUACUUCCCUUUUAAAGAUGACUUAGGCCCAGCCUCACUUCUGCUGCGUCACAGGAACCUGGUACAUGAGAGAACCCAGGAAGUGUUUGUUUAGUGAAUUGUAAGAAGAGGCCUACUUUUCUUUCAUGAAGGCUGACCCACCUUGUAAUACUUUUCACUCAACACAUUAUUCACGGUCUCAUUAGCCUGAGGAUGGAUCCAGUUUGUAAGGAAAUCCGCUUGAUUGAGAGGUGACAUAGCGUUAACUUUACCAGAUUCAGAUAACUUUACAAGAUUCAUUGGUAUUGAGUGUAUUUAUAGACUCCUAUGGCCAUCCCAACCACCUGAUUUUAGAACAUUUCUAUCACCCUAAAAAGCAAUCUGUCGUUGGCCAUUACUCGCCAUCCUUCCCCCACCUCCAGCACUUCUGCCUAUGUAGGCUUCCCUGUCCUGGCUCACUUAUGUGAUAGAGCUAUCAAGUCCACCUGCCUUUACCUAGCAUCCCCUGUUACAGACCAUAGCUAGCAUGUAGCAAUACUUCGUCCCUCUUGCGGGAUAAUGGUCCCUUGUGUGGGUAUACGACAUUUGAUUCAUUCGCCAGUCAGUGGACAUUUAGGUUGUUUCCACUUGGGGGCUUGUGAUAAUACUGCUGUAGACAUCCAGGUACAAAUUUUUGUGUGGAUAUAUAUUAAAAUUUCUGUGGGGUAGAUACCCAGGAGUGGGAUUGCUGGGCCACGUGGUGACUGUGUUUACCAUUUCAAGAAACAGCCAGACUUGUCUGCAGUAUUUUACAUUCCUGCUAGCAAUUGUAACAAAGCAGUGUGUGAGCAUUACGAUUUUUCCACAUCCUCGCCAACACUUCUUAUGUCUUUCUUUCUGGGUAUAACCAUUCUAGUGGGUAUGAGGUAGUAUUUCACUGUAGUGUAUCUUCUUUUCACUUGGGUUAUGCCUUGUCAUGGAGUGGUAAGACUUUUAAUUAUUUUAGUUAGGAGUCUAUACCAGAUAUGUGACUUGCAUAUGUUUUCUCCCAGUCUGUGGGUUGUCUUUUCAUUUUAAAUUUUAGUGAAGUCCAAUUUAUUAAUUUUUUUAAAGCACAUGCACUUUUGUUGUCAUGCCAUAUCUUUUAAAAAAUCACUGUCUAGCACAAGGUCACAGGCAGGCAGAGGGAGAAGCAAACUCCUCACUGAGCAGGGAGCCCAGUGUGGGACUCGAUCCCAGACCCUGUGAUCAUGACCUGAGCCAAAGACAGAUGCUUCACUGACUAAGCCACCCAGGCGCCUCCUACGAAUGUUUGCUAAUCAUAAUUGGGAUUAUUAGACCAGGAUUACUUUUGAGCUUGCAGAUCUGGCUUUAAGAUCCACUUGUAUUCUUAAGUUAAAAUAUGUUUUACCAUGUGAUACUUGCAUAACCACAGAUUUACAUAUCACUGAAACAUGGUAGGAUCUAAAAAUAUUGCUCCAUGUAUUGAAAUAAUUGAGUUCUUAAAAACAUGAAGGCCAUGCAAGGGCGCCUGGGUGUCUCAGUUGGUUACAUGUCUGACUCUUGGUUUCAGCUCAGGUCAUUAUCUGGGGGUCAUGAAAUUGAGUCUCAUCUCCGGCUUUGUGGUCAGUGGUGGGUCUACUUGUCUCUCUCCCUCUGCUCCUCACUACCUCCCCACCAUAAGCACGCAUGCUUGCGCUUACCUCUCUCUCUCAAAUAAAUCAAUAAAUAAAAAUCUUUGAAAAACUCAUACACAAAAGCCACGCAGAGGACAAAGAAUAGCCUUUUCAACAAAGUGCUGGAACAAUCAGAUAUCCGUGUGCAAGGGGUGCCUGGGUGGCUUAGUCAGUUAAGCAUCUGCCUUCGGCUCAGGACAUGAUCCCAGAGUCUUGGGAUCAAGCCCUGCAUUGGCUGAGGUAGGGGAGGUUGUCCCUGCUCAGCAGGGAGUCUGCUUCUCCCUCUGCCCCUCACCCACCCCACUUGUGUACUCUCUGUCUUUCAAGUAAGUAAAAUCUUUUUUUUUUUUUCUUUAAAGAUCUUGUUUAUUUAUUUGACAGAUCACAAGUGGCAGAGGUUGGUGGUUGGUGGGUGGGUAGCAGGCUUCCUUCUGAGCAGAGCAGAGAGGCUGAUGCGGGGCUUGAUUCCAGAACUGGGAUCAUGACCUGAGCCGAAGGCAGAGGCUUUAACCCACUGAACCACCCAGGUGCCCAGUUAAUAAAAUCUUUAAUAAAGAAAAGAUGGGGCGCCUGCGUGGCUCAUUUGUUAAGCGUUGGCCUUCAGCUCAGGUCAUGAUCCCAGCACCCUGGGAUCGAGCCCCACAUCGGGCUCCCUACUCUACAGGAAGCCUGCUUCUCCCUCUCCCACUUCCCCUGCUUGUAUUCCCUCUCUCACUGUCUCUCUCUCUCUGUCAAAUAAAUAAAUAAAAUCUUUAAAAAAAAAAGUCAUAUGCAAGAAAAAUCACCUUUAACACACACUUAUUACCACACGUAAAAAUUAACUCAAAAUGGAUCAAAGAUCAGUGACAACUCACAGCUGUAAAAUUCCAGGAAGGAAACAGGAGAGAAAUGUUUCCUACCAUGGAUUAAGUGAAGAUUGCUUAGGUGUGACACCAAAAGCACAAUCUUUUAGAGCAAAAAGAUAAAUUGAACUGCUCUUCACAAGAUGCCACUGAGUGAACACAAGGCCAAAACUACACUGACUAGGAAAAAAUACUUACAAAGUGUAUAUGUGGUCAAGGAUUUAUAUCUGGAACGUAGAAUGGAUUCUCAAAACUCAGCAACUGAAGAAUAUUAAAAAUUGGCUGAACACUGCACAGACCCUUCCCUGUCAUGAGUAUACAGGCAGCAGAUAGACCUGAAAAUGUGCUCGGCCUCAUUAGCCCUCAGGGAGAUGCUAGUGAGAUCCCACUACAAACCUUAGAAUAACUAUCUAAAAUGAAAACGACUAUACCAAGUAUUGGCAAGGAGGGGAAUGUCAACUGGCACAGCUAGUCUGGAAAACAGUUUGUUGGUGUUUUUAAAUUUCAGGCUACUACUGUGGUAGGAUGUAGCCAUACUGCUCUGCAUCCCACACUUAGCAAGGGAAACACACCAAGACUGGUACAUGAGUGCUCCAGAACUGGAAACCAAAUGGUGAUCAGCAGAGCAAUGGAAGAAUAAAUCGAGGCAUAGCUGCCCAGGUCAAUACUCCCCAACCAUAAAGGAAGAAUCAAGUACUAAGGCACGUAAGAACUUAGGGGAACCUGAAAACAGUUCUGUAUCUAGAGUACAGUACAGAGUACAUAGAGUGUGCUUACACAUCUAUAAAAUUCUAGAAAAUAUGAACUAACCUGUAGUGAUAUAACCAAUGAGUGGCUGCCUGGGGACUGAGGGUGUCAGGGAAGAGCAGCAGGGAAAGGCCACAAUGCAGUCCUCAGUAAGUUUUUAAAUUGCAGAGGUUUCCUGAGACCUGAGUGUGUGGGGUCCUUCGCCCUAUAGGGUAAGAGGGCGCUCAGGCCUGUGGGAUAGCACUCUAUCAUCAUGCUGCAGGGGUUAUGCAAUCAACUUUCCUUUUCUUCCUUACUUCCAAGUAGUAUAUCCUAGCAUCUCAAGAGAAAGUCCAAUAUUGUGUUGAACAUCAAAAGAUCACUGAAUUAAGUAUUUAGCUUCCCCAAGGGAACUGAAGAACAAAAGUAACAGAAUUAGAAUUUCAGCUAGAAAGAACUCUACCUCUUUAUGGAAUAAAUUAAUGGUUAAGUCUGAGUGUGUUCAUUAGAAAACACGAGACCCAUUAUUUAUAGGUGUACUUGUGCGUGAACAAGGGUCUUAUCAUAGUGAGCUACGUGAAGCCUCUCUGGAAUGGUUGAGGGCCUCUUCACGGAGGAAUCAGGAAUGUACCUAAUGAACUUCAGUGUCAGGCAGAGUUUGGAGCUUGCUCUCUGCUCCUGCUACCAAGAGUCUCGUGAGGACAAACAAGGGCAAGAAUUUCUUCUGGGGGACUCUGGGAAGGCUUCCUGGAGGAAGCAUUGUUUGAGAAUCCCACUAUGUGUCUGAGGAAGAAAGUAUUUUGGAGAAAGGAACCACUGAGAGCAAAGAGAAGAAGGCUUGAGGCUUCUAGGUUGUUUAAGGAAUGGAGAGAGAGGUCUGGUCGGUGGGGUGUGGGAGUUGGGGAGACUGAAAGAGAGGGAACUAGGAUGGGAGGGUCGGGUCCUUUAGGGCCUUCCUCCUGUGGUGAGAGAUACAGGCUUGGUUCUGCCACAGCAAGUGGUCGGCAGGUGUUUUAGAAGAUAACCCUAGGGGCAUUGCAGUGGGUCCCAGAGAGGGGAAGUUCAGAGAUGAGGCCAGUCAGAGAUUGUGACAUUUGGCCCCUGAGGAUAGGGUAAUGGGAGGUCCCCCUGCCGGAAUCCCAGGCUCCCGUGGCGGGUCCUCAUCUGAGCCAGGGAACCCUGAUGGCUCACGGGUUUGGGCAGAAACAUGGGCUGGACUUUUUUGAAGGAUAUACUCUUUUGAAGGAGGAAUUUUAAUUUUAAUAAAGUCUAAUUUAUCAAUUUUUUCUUUUUAAAAAGUCGUCUUCCCACAUCUCAUGUUAAUUAUAUUUUUGUAAAGAUUAUAUUUAAUUUAUUGAAGACUUCACCCUCCCAUCAU